rnacentral:rRNA from 1 species
UUCGCAAUGCCCGAAAGGGUGACGAGGCGACGCCGCGUGUGGGAAGAAGGCCUUCGGGUUGUAAACCACUGUCGGGAGUUAAGAAGUGCAAGGAUGUUAAUAGCGUCCUUGCUUGACUAAGGCUCCGGAGGAAGCCACGGCUAACUCUGUGCCAGCAGCCGCGGUAAUACAGAGGCGGCAAGCGUUGUUCGGAAUUAUUGGGCGUAAAGAGCACGUAGGCGGUUCUGCAAGUCGGCUGUGAAAGCCUUCCGCUCAACGGAAGAACAGCAUCUGAUACUGCAAGGCUAGAGUGCGGAAGGGGAGAGUGGAACUUCUGGUGGAGCGGUGAAAUGCGUAGAUAUCAGAAGGAACACCGGCGGCGAAGGCGACUCUCUGGUCCGUAACUGACGCUGAGUGUGCGAAAGCUAGGGGAGCAAACGGGAUUAGAUACCCCGGUAGUCCUAGCCGUAAACGAUGGGCACUAAGUAGAGGGGUUUU